rnacentral:tRNA from 1 species
GCCGGAGUGAUGGAAUUGGUAGACAUAUCGGACUUAAAAUCCGAAGAUCAUUUAUGAUCGUGCGGGUUCAAAUCCCGCCUCCGGUA